GAACCCUCCCGGCCCACCUUUUUUCAGCAUGAGGACUCUUCACAGUGAAGUUGUGUGUGAGAACAGUACAGCCAGGUGAACUUCCAGGUCAGAGCCCCUGAAAUUCCCCCAAUUUUCCAAGAAUGCAUGUCUGAAAGCCCUAGUGAAGAUUCCCUCUCCUCUUCUGAUCAUCUUGACCAUCAGCCCCCCUUCUACCCCCCUACAGGAGGUCUGUGCUUGAGGAACUUGAUGUGGGGGUGGGAGUGUGUGCAUUUGAGUGUGUGUUUUUGUGUCUCUGAGGCAGGAAGGACUCACCUCCCCCGUCCUCCCCCCGUCCUCCUCCUCCCCCCCGGUCAGAGCCUUUGUUCCCUGAUGAUGUAUGAGACAGCAUCUCCCCUGGAGUACCACAGGAACAUGACAGCCCAGCAACAACGCUGUCCCAUAAUGGAGACUGAUGGGACGGCUCCCGCUCCCUCCACUUUGUUCACUACUAAGAUUGAGUUGGCGGGACUCUGCGGGGUCCAAUGAGGCCCUCAGACAGCUCUGAGAGGGGCCCUCGUAGGAGGAGAGUCAACCUGAGGCAGCUCACGUCUGUCGGCCGCGCUGGGUCCCGCCACGGCCUGACGGGUGGAUGGACAGACGGAUGACGUACGAGGGAAUGGAGGGAGGGUGCAUGGAUGGGGACCUGUGCAGGUCUUUGUGGACCAAGGGAGUCCCGGUCCUCUGGUUCCUGUUGGACAUUCUUGAGAUGACUGAGCGAAGGUGAAUUUCCUCUGAGCUCUGACUGAAGGUGUCAGCUGAGGUUUGAUUUCUGAGAGAGGAGAUGUCACACUGAAGGAGAGGAAUUAACUUCAGAAAGACCUUACAGUAGCGACUAAGACUUUGUAAUGUGGAGCAUAAAUUAAACCAGAAGUACGUCAAAUACCUACAAAUAUCUAAAUUUCUGUGAGUGUUUCACUUUGUUCAGAAAGAAGUACCUGGUUAAUCUGAUAGACUGUCAGGACAUUUCGUGCAAAUACAGAAAAGAGCUGGCUUAUUGUGUCUAAGGUGUCAUUACAAAUUGAGUUUAGAUUUGAUGCACAAUCCUAAUUCCAGAUCGUAAUAAGGAUACUGUGUACAGUGUUGUUAACAACAUAAUUUUAUGGUGUGUAAAUCCUGCAAACCUAAUAGACACUGAAUAGAAAAAAGACAACAUAUCAAAUGUUGGACUUGAAUGUUUUUGUUUGUCUAAAAGACCCACUCCGAUGAAAUCAUGUUUUUCUUGUUGUCUACAUGUUUAUAUGGCACUUUGCUGAUGCUACUGGACAUAUUAGAAACCUAAGUGCAAAAUUGCAUUUCUGAGUAUUUCUGCUUCAAUUGCUGUGAAUCUCUGGCAGACCUAAACUGCAGGCUCUGAUACAGUGAGAUUUCUGAUGUCACAAAUCCAAGCUCCACCCCCCAAACUCUGCUAUGCAGGCCAGACUUGGAGAAAUAGAGAGGACAAUCGCAGAACAAGUGUGUGCUUUAGAAGAUUGAGAUAUUUGUAAGAAAGCUAAUUAUGAUAUUAACUUUCAACAUGCCCCCAAAGACAUUAGUGUCCGAGGGCUGAAUCGCUCCUAUGUUACCUGCUUCUUCUACUACACCGGCAAUGUUAGGCUGCAAGCUAACAUGAAGAGGAGUGUGCGGAGCAGCGCUGUCCCCACCCACGACUCAGAGGAGAAUUGCUAAUGAGCUACUGGAGCUUUGCAGAAGAAAAGACCUUGGAAAUGACACAGGAAAUGUGAUUUUGGCUAAAAACUUUAUAAACACAAUUCAAAGACCACUGACAACACUUGAAGUAGGAAAAAAUAGUUUGGAAUGGGACUUUGAAGCUUUGAAGUUUUGAACCAUUUUUGUUGACAAACCAUCCAACGGUUAAUGUUGACAAGACAGUCUUGAACAGCAGCCAGGCUUCUAGGGUCCCCAGAUCUCAAAGGGACGUACAUCUGUGUGUCGUCUGCAAAGCAAUGAAAGGAGACUUUGUGAUGCUGAAUUAUUUAGCCGAGGGGCUGCAUAUAAAUAGAAAAAAAACAGGAACUGAAAAUUAUAAAGGAUGUAAUGCAAGCGUUUCUCUCAGCUGUAGACAUGAUUGUUGCUACUAGUUUUAAUUUGUUUGUUCUGAAUAGAGACAAAUAAAAGACUGGAUCAGUCUGAGAGUCCAGUUUUUGAAAGAAGCAAAGAGGAAGGAGAUGUGUGAAAAAAGGACCACAUGGAGAAAAAGCCGGAAGUGACAGAGCGAGACGAGUUGAAUGAGAUACAGGUGGAGGAGAGAACUGAGUGCUAGUGAGAGGGGCUGUUUAGAUGCUUUGUGAGUGUGUGUGUGUCUGAGUGUGUGUGACUCAGACAGGAAACAGAUAUUAUGAUCUUUCAGAGAUGGAGGCUCAUCUAUUGAAUGGAUAAUACAGUAUAAUAUGUGAAUAAUGUCCUCACACAAAGACAUGGACAUGUGCACCGACACACAAACACAAACACACACACACACACAGAUAUCUGCCAUGAAUCACUUCCUGUGCGAACAAUAACACACACACAUAUACAUAUUCAUUAAAGAGGAGAUCCAUACCUGGAGGAAAAGAAAAAACUCAGCAGAGAUGAAUUAAAAACACACCAUCAGUUUGUAAGAGAUUUAAGAUCAAUGAGAUCCUUUUUACAUGAAUGGGCAUGAAAAAAGGGAAAAAGUACUGAGCUGGAAAAGUCAUCCAAUUGCUGAACAUACAUUGCUAACACUGUUAAUUGUUUUAGGCCUUUAAAAGGUCAACUGGGAACUACAGAGAAGAAGAAGAACUUGAUUCUUGCGCAGUGUUUGUAAGCUGGGGUAAAGACAGUAGUCCAGUUCAAUCGCCUAAUAAAGCUGUUACAGUAGCUCCAUUUAACUGUGCAUGAAAACACACUAAGUGCUGAAGCUGAGUACAAAGUGGGGGCUGAUAUCGAGGAGCAAAUAAUGCCACUGCAAAAGUCCCCCCAAAAAACUGUAAUUUCUAGAGUGUCCACUAGAGGCUGUCCCCUUAAGUGAGCCAUUCCCCAUAGAGCCCCACGUUAAAAUGUCCAAUUCUUACAGUCGUAAUAAAGAUGUUAACAGCCAGGUAGAAAUAAGUGUUUAUUCAUAUUUCUUUAUUCAUGUGAGAUUAGUGCAAAUAAUAUUCUUGUUUACAUUAGAAUUAAAAUUGAAGUUAUGUUAAAUCAGGGGCGUGGCCUCUGUAAGUGACUUACAUCUCAUUAGCAGUAUCUAAACUCAAAGCUUCAUUAAUGCUGUUGAGAUACCAAGAUUAAUAAUGCAUCAGAUUUUAUAUAGCACUUUAUCAACAACCCUCAAAGCACUGUAUACUGGAUACAUCAUUCAUCACUUACACAGUCACAGACUGACAAAAACGGCUGCCAGUUUGCAGCUCCGGCCUCUCCGACCAUCCAAUUCAUGAGGGGAGGACACACACUGGGAGCAAGGUGGGUAAAGUGUCUUGCCCAGGGACACAACAGACAGACUCAGGAUAGGAGGAAAUCGAACUGCCAACCUUCCAGUUACUGGACAAUUGCUCUACCUCCUGCGCUGCUGCCUCCCAAGGUGACUUCACAGUUGAUUUAUACUUUCUACUGUCUUUUAUUAGGAUACUGUUAGCCCAGCAUAGCACACAGAUUGGAAACAAAGAGAGAGAGCUUGCUUGGUUCUGUCCAAUAUUGUAAAAAAACAAACAAACAAACAAACAAAACAAUAAAACAAACCAAAAAAAUCAUGUGUGAUGAACUCUAAGACUAGGACACUCCCAGUCAAAGUGACUAAGUUUGGUGUUCUGUGCAGCGCUGUCAGAGGUCAUGGGUCUUCAUGGUUGUUCAGUAUCUUAUAAAGCCUAUUUGUUAGUGGGGCUGCAGGAGAUACAUCAGUCUUUCAUUUGCCUUAAAUGGAGAGAUAUUUUCACUUUGCAUGCUGUUCCAUUUCAAUUUAGUCUCUGAUGUAAACAAAUCAGUGUGUGUCUCAUGAGGGGGAUCCACACACCCAAAACAAGGAAGUGAAAGCGAGCAGCUCAUAAGUCAUGGUUGAUUGACACAGCAAGUGUGUGUGUCAGAGCUGAUUUUGAAAGUCAUGCUGCUAAAUAUAAUCUUUUUAUUCCAAUGUUUCAUUACAUGAGUGUAUUGGUGACACGCAUGGGAAAACAAAGUAAGGGGACAGACAGUUCAGGGUGUGAGAGAGUAUUAUACGAUUCUCCACAAAACAAGACUUUAUGAACAAUAUGCUAAAACACAAUGAAGUGCAAAAUAAGAAAACACAAUAUAGAAGAAGACAAUGUAGGAGGAUAUGGUAACAUACAAAAAAACAUGAAACAUCAUAGAACAAUGCAAAUCAAUACAGUACGAUGAAGUACAAUACUUCAUGGUAUUUAUCAUAUGGUAUGAUACAGUACCAUGUGAUACUGUAGGGUUCAGUAUACAACAAUAAGUAAAGAUACAAUAGAUUUUGAUGCAAUAAAGUACAAAAAAAAUUAAGUACAGAAGUGCAGAAAAAUAUACAACUAAAUGCUACAAUACAAACAAAAGACACACAGUGCAAUGUACAACAACAGGACAAUACAGCAUGGUAUGUUUGAUAGAGUAGGAUGAUAUAUGAUAUUAUAGUAUACAAUGUGAUAUCAUAUGAUGUGAUAUGAUAGGAUGUAUUACAAUACCAUGUAAUUCUAUAUAUUACAAUCAAGUGAAAUAUGAAAUAUGACAAGACAUGAUAUGAUAUGAUAUGUUACAGUACAACAGAGUUCAAUUGAAUAGAGCAUAAUGUUUGGAUAGGGAAUAAAACAGUGCAGUAUAAAACUCUGAUAUGAAUUGGUACAAUUUUGAAGGGUCCAACAUGAUCCCAGUUGGUACAGGUAAUGAACUUAAGUCCUUCCAUUGCUAAAUUUCUCACAUACCCAAAUUUGUCCAAGUGCUGAUGUGAUGGUCACAGACCCAGCCUGAUGAUCUUUAGGCUGCAUAAUUGUUUUACUCUACAAUAUGAAACAAUUAAACAAGCCUGUCUGUCUUUGCAUGCACUCAGCUCAACAUUGGCCCUAAUCUUGUAUCAGGCUUAAUAAAACAGAACAGACUGACCCUGAUGUCCCCCUGAACCUGAACCUCAA
rnacentral:lncRNA from 1 species